rnacentral:rRNA from 1 species
AUUGAACGCUGGCGGCAGGCCUAACACAUGCAAGUCGAGCGAGUGGCGGACGGGUGAGUAAUGUCUGGGAAUCUGCCUGAUGGAGGGGGAUAACUACUGGAAACGGUGGCUAAUACCGCAUACUAUCGGAUGUACCCAUAUGGGAUUAGCUAGUAGGUGGGGUAACGGCUCACCAAGGCGACGAUCCCUAGCUGGUCUGAGAGGAUGACCAGCCACACUGGGACUGAGACACGGUCCAGACUCCUACGGGAGGCAGCAGUGGGGAAUAUUGCACAAUGGGCGCAAGCCUGAUGCAGCCAUGCCGCGUGUAUGAAGAAGGCCUUAGGGUUGUAAAGUACUUUCAGCGGGGAGGCGUUACCCGCAGAAGAAGCACCGGCUAACUCCGUGCCAGCAGCCGCGGUAAUAC